UUCAGCUUGGCAGAAAAUAUGCAAUAAAUUUAGAAUUUAUUUAUGAUUAAAAAUCAGUUGAGA
rnacentral:tRNA from 1 species